rnacentral:lncRNA from 1 species
UCCCGUAAUAGUUGGUGUCGUGAUGGAGAAGAUCUCGCUAUGGAUAGUUUCCAUGUAUAGAUAGGAUUCUGAAGGGUUCUGGUGGAGAUUCCAAGUAUUCUACAUCGCCCAAGGGCGAGGAGGAGACAGUACCCUGGCUCUUGGUGAGCUGAUGAGCACUCCGAUGGAGGCUCUGGCGAGCUCAGUGAAGAUGACUUGGCGAGGUCCCAUGCCGAACGUUGGACUUGUUUUACCUCGGUCAAGAGGGUUCGGAGAUAGCGUUUGGCAUUCUAAAUGCGGAGAUGGGACUUCAUAGGAUUGAUGUCUGGCGAUGUCCAGUCUCCCUUGGGGCGAGGUACUUGAAUAUUAAUAGGUGAAUAUUUUACCCCACAUCAAG